GUGGGGAAUUUUGGACAAUGGGCGCAAGCCUGAUCCAGCAAUGCCGCGUGCAGGAAGAAGGCCUUCGGGUUGUAAACUGCUUUUGUACGGAACGAAACGGUCCUGGCUAAUAUCCGGGGCUAAUGACGGUACCGUAAGAAUAAGCACCGGCUAACUACGUGCCAGCAGCCGCGGUAAUACGUAGGGUGCGAGCGUUAAUCGGAAUUACUGGGCGUAAAGCGUGAGCUGGCCGUGUUGUAAGACAGGCGUGAAAUCCCCGGGCUCAACCUGGGAAUUGCGCUUGUGACAGCACAGCUGGAGUGCGGCAGAGGGGGAUGGAAUUCCGCGUGUAGCAGUGAAAUGCGUAGAUAUGCGGAGGAACACCGAUGGCGAAGGCAAUCCCCUGGGCCUGCACUGACGCUCAUGCACGAAAGCGUGGGGAGCAAACAGGAUUAGAUACCCGUGUAGUCC
rnacentral:rRNA from 1 species